AUAUCUCCUUGCUGCCCAUUGUUUCCUUUACGUAACAGGACUUUUUGAUGUGUUAACUCUCUCAAAUCAUGUCCAAAACAUAUCCAGAUCGAAAAUCCAUUUUUUGACCAUCGGAUUGAGUUUAAACGGUUUAGAUCAAUCUCAAAUCAUCCUAAAUCAAGUCAGAAUCAUUGGUAGCCAUUGGAUCAAGCCUCAAAUUGCUUUUAGACCAUUGGAUCACACACC
rnacentral:lncRNA from 1 species